CUUGUGGAGUUUUAUAUAACACAGUAAGAAGUCAUGUACCACACUUUGUCAACAAUAAAUGUUGUUUCUGCAAUCUGGAUAAAGAAUAAUAUAUUACUGCCUCUUGGAGAACAGCCGACCGUACUCCAGACAGAGACAAAGACAAGUCAUGUACCACACUUUGUCAACAAUGCAUGUUGUUCCUGCAAUCUGGAUGAAGAAUAAUAUAUUACUGCCUCUUGGGAAAACAGCAGACUGUACUCCAGACGGAGACAAAGACAUGAGGACAUCCAUUGCUUUUAAGUCCUAUACCAGACUAUGUUGUUCCAGCUGUCUGGGUAAAGACUGAUACAUUACUGCCUCUUGGAGAACAGCAAACCAUUCUCCAGACAGAGACAACGACAUGGACAUCAAAACAGAAAAUUAAGUAAGAUGAUGUAUAUUAUGUUCAUUAUUUAUCUUUGUGCAGUUUGAUUUGAUGAAUUACAUUAUUGUCUAUAUCUAAUUUGUUAAGUCUCUUAUUAGGGUAAUUUGUCUAAUAUUCAUAUAAGUUACAAAAGCACAAGUUUUGGCUUAAA